GGAUCAGCCGAAUACUGAAUCCACUGGUAAAGUUUCUGCCAAACCCGAAAACGAAUACCGAUUCCUACUCCCAUCCUUAAUCUUUUAAUACAGUGAACACAUUAAUGAAGUAAACACCUGGGAGACAUCUGGUUUUUAGCUGUGACUGUCCUUCCUUUGCCGUACCUGACGUUGCUGCAUUUUGGCUACUGUCUGUAGAUUCCUUCAUGUACAACUCAUAAUCUUUUGGAAGAUUUAUACGCAAAUGUUUUAACAGUGGCAAUGUUGUGUAUUGUUUAGGGUCCUUGUCACCAAGAGACAAAUCGGCAUUGCAAAUUGAACAUGCAGCUGGACUUGAAUUGCCUUCUUUUGAAUUGAAAGUACUGCCA